AACUCAAAGGAAUUGACGGGGGCCCGCACAAGCGGUGGAGUAUGUGGUUUAAUUCGAAGCAACGCGAAGAACCUUACCAGGCCUUGACAUAGGACGCAAAGACUUAGAGAUAAGUUGGAGGUUACCGUCCAUACAGGUGGUGCAUGGUGUCGUCAGCUCGUGUCGUGAGAUGUUCAGUUAAGUCUGGCAACGAGCGCAACCCUCGUGAUAUGUUGCUACCAUUGAGUUGAGAACUCAUAUCAGACUGCCGGUGACAAACCGGAGGAAGGCGGGGAUGACGUCAAAUCAUCAUGCCCCUUAUGGCCUGGGCUACACACGUACUACAAUGGCGUCUACAAAGGGAAGCGAACCUGUGAAGGGAAGCGAACCCCAUAAAAGACGUCCCAGUUCGGAUUGAAGUCUGCAACCCGACUUCAUGAAGUUGGAAUCGCUAGUAAUCGCGGAUCAGCAUGCCGCGGUGAAUACGUUCCCGGGCCUUGUACACACCGCCCGUC
rnacentral:rRNA from 1 species